GAUGAACGCUGGCGGCGUGCCUAAUACAUGCAAGUCGAGCGAACGGACGAGAAGCUUGCUUUUCUGAUGUUAGCGGCGGACGGGUGAGUAACACGUGGAUAACCUACCUAUAAGACUGGGAUAACUUCGGGAAACCGGAGCUAAUACCGGAUAAUAUUUUGAACCGCAUGGUUCAAAAGUGAAAGACGGUCUUGCUGUCACUUAUAGAUGGAUCCGCGCUGCAUUAGCUAGUUGGUAAGGUAACGGCUUACCAAGGCAACGAUGCAUAGCCGACCUGAGAGGGUGAUCGGCCACACUGGAACUGAGACACGGUCCAGACUCCUACGGGAGGCAGCAGUAGGGAAUCUUCCGCAAUGGGCGAAAGCCUGACGGAGCAACGCUGCGUGAGUGAUGAAGGUCUUCGGAUCGUAAAACUCUGUUAUUAGGGAAGAACAUAUGUGUAAGUAACUGUGCACAUCUUGACGGUACCUAAUCAGAAAGCCACGGCUAACUACGUG
rnacentral:rRNA from 1 species